CCCUUGUGGAGGAGGACGCCGAAGGUGGGGCUAAUGACUGGGGUGAAGUCGUAACAAGGUAGCCGUACCGGAAGGUGCGGCUGGAUCACCUCCUAACAGGGAGACAACAAAAUGUUUAAUAUUAUUAUUUUGUCACCUUAGGUCGAUCGGUAUCUCACGUUCUUAAUUUGUUAAGGAUUUCAUUUCCUAAGUUUUUCUAGGUCACACCCAUUAUUUUUCCUGGGCCAUUAGCUCAGGUGGUUAGAGCGCACCCCUGAUAAGGGUGAGGUCCCUGGUUCAAGUCCAGGAUGGCCCAUAUCUCUAUGUUGGGGGUAUAGCUCAGUUGGUAGAGCGCCUGCUUUGCAAGCAGGAUGUCAGCGGUUCGAGUCCGCUUACCUCCACUGAUUACCACCUCUUCCAUACUGGUAGAAAGGAAAUGUUUUGAGUUGUGAUUAUUAUUCUGAACGAAUCUAGCUUCCUAAUGAAAUCAUUAAGAUGCUGGACUCAUUGAAUUAAUUUCAUUGUUUUCAGAGAACCUUGACAACUGCAUAGAUUUUUUUAAAGACAAUAAGCAUCUUUAAUGAUGCAGAUUUAUUAUUUGUGCGAAUGCAUUAAUAACAAUUCUAUUAAGCUGAUGCUUCAAUUUUUGAAGUUAUUGGUCAAGCUACAAAGGGCUCACGGAGGAUACCUAGGCACACAGAGGC
rnacentral:misc_RNA from 1 species